AAUAAAUUAUGCCACUGUACAGAAGAUCAUCCAUACGUGCUUUUAGAAUAGGUACGACACGAGAACUAUUCCGAGCGUUUUGCUAACCAAACAAUUUUUUUUCGAAGAGGAAAAAGCAGUGCAAAUUUAAGUAAAAUAAUUAGUAUGGCCGCUUCACUAAGAACACAAAAAAUUGAAAAACAGCUCCGCUGAAAAAUUCGGUAUUCAUGACGUUUGCAACGUUCAGCCUUUUGACCAUCGAUAUUAUACAUUUACUUGUCAGCUACCUUCGUUAUUAUGUUAUGUUAUAAAAUAUAAUGUGCGUAUUUUAGUAUAUUUUUCGUUCUUCGGGAGAGAACCAUCACUUCCGCGCAUACCUUCCUGUAUUCUCUAAACGGCAUUAUUCCCAUUGUUAAUAAUAUUCACUAUCCGGUGUAAAAUGCAAACCCAAUUAUUUACGUGAAACUAAACAGUGACCUUUUCGGUAGUUAUUAUUGUAUUGUUGAAUAACGAAGCUCGCCCACAAUCGUCCCUGCGAUAAUCAUUUGCGGUUUUAUGCGGUCGGUAUCGGACCGGGGACGUGACAUUUGUUUUAUUGCCACACAGUAACGACCUGUGACAAUAAUAUUAUUAUAAUAGUAUUAGUAUAAUAUAAGAGACAACUUUGUGUACAAUAGACACGCGAGGAUCCGCAUUAUUCUCGUCGGCUCGAGUGUUCUGAUAAUAUAAAUAAUAUAUUUUCUCCGAUUCGAGGGCGCGUGUUUAACUCGCUAUAUUCGAACACACUAUCGUUUUAUAGACAUGCACCGGAGAUACACGAGGCCUUCGGUUCAAUAACUGACUAAUCAACAAAUUAUGAAUAUUUGAAUUGGUUGCACCAACAGCACACGACGAGAAAAUUAAAUUCAUAAACGUUGUGAGCAGUUAGUCGCGUUUACUUAAUAUUCACUAGACCGAAGCGCCCAAACCGUAAUUAUUGCAUUAUACGAUUAUAAAUAUUUUUAAGAGCAUUCUUUAGAAUGGAGGUAAAAAGUUCUGGAACGGCAGAGGAUGAUGGAAUGGGGAUAAGUCCGUUAUUGUACCGAAAGCCUCAUACAAUAUAAUGUUGGGUACAUAGUACUAUUAUACUUAUACAUUGUAUUUUUUCUCAGUGUUUUACACGCAGAGAUGCUUAGUAAGACACUCUACAACUGCUGCAAUUGCAUACUAGAGUACUCAUACCACGAGUGCAGCAGAAAAUUUGAUGAAAACCCACCGUAGACGCUCGGUAGUCCUUUGUAGGAUAAAAACGACAAAAACGACGAAUAAUAUUAUCAUAAAAGAAACUCCUCAGAGAAGAAAUAAUAUCGCGUUAUCUAGGACGAUUUAUAAUAAAAUACAUCGUAGAUGUACUCAGGCGUCCGAAAUUUCCGAUAAAAUUAUACGUAAGAAAUGGUCGUUUGGAUUCGCAAUAAUGCAGAUCGGCAUAGCGUCGAAUGCAAAACACUCGUGAAACACGUGCGCUAGCGUAAAUAAAAUUCGAUUUAUUCAGUUUCGACGUCUAUAAAUCGGAAGGUUUUUUUUCAUCUUCUUUUUCUACCCGUCCGUCUAAACGGAAACGCGUAGUACGAUAAGUCUAAUAAUUAGUCAUGUAGACCGGCGUGUUAAAAUAUAGCGCAGAUUUAUAAUCUCUUAAAACAACCAAAGUAUAAUGCUUAUAUUAUUCUCUUGAAAAUUUGAAUAUAUGCUUAUAGUGUUCUCUAAAAAUAUUAGUAAAAUAUGAAAAAAUACGUUUUUAUUAAUAAAAUAAUAUGAUAAUAAUAAUUUGUUUUAUUUAAUAAUCAAUAUGUUCUCUUAACACCAAAAUAUAUGUACUUGUAUGCAAAACAAAUUUAAUAAAUAAUAAAUUUAUUUUUUUAGAUCGUUGUUUCAGGAAUUCAUUAAAUUAAAACUGGUAAACCAAAACACAACAUCCAAAAAGUAAAAAAAUAAAAAUGAUUUGUUAGUUUCAAUUGACUAAGAAUACAAAACGAUAACUCGUAAUCGCUGGAGAAAAACGUGUGUUGCGGGACUAACAAGUGUAUCAUUUGCCGUAUUCGUCUAUUAUGAUAAACAGUGAAAUAAUGAUUUUCACACUUCGUUGUCAUUUGCAAAUUAUCAAAUCUUAGUAACACUGAAACUGUCGUACAAAGUACCCAAUAAUAAAUUAUUAUAAAAUAGAAAAAUCUUAUCGCAGCAGUUCAAAUGUACAUCAUUUUUUUUAAUUUCCAGAAAUAUUAUUUUAA